rnacentral:rRNA from 1 species
AUUGAACGCUGGCGGCAGGCUUAACACAUGCAAGUCGAGCGGGGUGAUGGUGCUUGCACUAUCACUUAGCGGCGGACGGGUGAGUGAUGCUUAGGAAUCUGCCUAUUAGUGGGGGACAACAUCUCGAAAGGGAUGCUAAUACCGCAUACGUCCUACGGGAGAAAGCAGGGGAUCACUUGUGACCUUGCGCUAAUAGAUGAGCCUAAGUCGGAUUAGCUAGUUGGUGGGGUAAAGGCCUACCAAGGCGACGAUCUGUAGCGGGUCUGAGAGGAUGAUCCGCCACACUGGGACUGAGACACGGCCCAGACUCCUACGGGGGGCAGCAGGGGGGAAUAUUGGACAAUGGGGGGAACCCUGAUCCAGCCAUGCCGCGUGUGUGAAGAAGGCCUUAUGGUUGUAAAGCACUUUAAGCGAGGAGGAGGCUCUUUUGGUUAAUACCCAAGAUGAGUGGACGUUACUCGCAGAAUAAGCACCGGCUAACUCUGUGCCAGCCGCCGCAGUAA